CUCUGGUCCAGCAAAUGGAGCAGGGCAAAGGAG
ncrna:Enterococcus faecium TC7267 L31-Firmicutes ribosomal protein leader